GUUUGGUCCCGUCGUGGGAGAUGUCGAUACAGCUGGCUCCAUCUGUGUGGCCCUGGAACUGCCUGGAACACCACAAGACACCGAACAUGAAGUUAAGAACAGAGGACAAAGCCUUCCCGCCUAACAAUGAUCUUUCAGUGUGUCACUCACAUGGGCGUGGUCCUUUAUUUUGGAGGACGGCGUGCUGCCCGAGGAGGCGACGGAGGCGGGGCUGUUGGGGGCAGCAUCCUUCUUCAGGACUCGUGAUUUAUCCAGGCCGUUUUCUGGAGGAGAGUGAGCGGGGCUGACUCGAGGGGUGGCUGGAUCCUACACAGUUAAACGAGACAGACAGAGAGCGAGACUGAGCAAACAGACCGGAGGAAAGCCACUGGCAUGUACAUCGUUGAGGAAUGUGGCGGAGCAGCUCAGUUCAAACGCAGUCUUACCUCGUUGGAAACAUCCACCACCAGGUCGUCACUUUUGUCUCCGUCACUGUCCUGAAACAAAAGAGAGACAGGCGUUACAUUACUGGGAGACCACUAACCGUACAGUGAGCGUAAACCAGUACAGUCACAACAUCAAAGACCAGAUUUAUGGACUUUGUAACCAGUUUUUUGGCAUGUAUUUAUAAUUUGCUUAAGAUGCUGUGUAUACAUAUGAAAUGAGAUUAUGAACGCUGUAUUUUACAGUUCCAUUAUUUCCUAUUAAUUACAAUUUCUUGAAAGUUUCCUGGAAACAACUGUGCAACUGGCACUGGUCUGCAUGUGUGCUGCAGAGCCAGUUGAGAGUCGGUAAAGUUUCACUUUGGGCGCAUUACGUGAUCAGGUAUUAUCAAUCCACUUAACGAGGACGGCUUCAACCACAGGUGCUUUCCCCGUAAGCAUUUGUUUUUUAGUUUUUCCGUCAUGAUAUCAAUGUGCAUGCAGCUUCAGGUAUCCAGCUGGAAAGCAGCUGGUGUGUAAGGCAAAGUAUCAUGGGAGUAAAGUAAUAAAACAACAAAAAUUUAAUUCGAUGUAUGAAUGAUGUAUGAAAAGACCCAAAAUGAACAAUAUAAGCGGACUUCUUGAUUACAAUAAGCAAAUAAUUUAAACAGCAUUUGUACAGGAAUGAGUCUGUCCCCAGCUUUUUGAUCCAUAUAAGCGGUUGUUCACUUUAACCAUGAUCACUUUAAGCGGUUUCCACUGUAUAGGGAAAAUGGAGACACGGUUCUGUUCUCAGUUGUUGAUAUCCAGAGGAAUUUCUCUGAAAGAACGGGUCCCUUUAACCCCAAGUACAUUCAUAUUCAUUAAUUAUAGUAAACUAUAUUCUUCAUGUAUGUUGAAUUGUAUACUCACCUGUUGACACUAGCUGACAUGCUGUGCACUGACUAAAAGACUCAAGGAUGCGCUAGUUCAGCAUUUAAUUGGAAUUAAUUAAUUGGAAAUGUACCAAUUGAACACUGUCUCUAUUUUACCUUUAAUUAGAGCCACAUUACUGUACAUUAGUCAUUUCCAGGCACUUUCUAGGAACUUAUUUACAGACUCAUAAAAUAAAGCACUACCAAAACUGUGGUGAUUGUACAAUGAAACAACAGAUAAUAAACUAGUUUUCCUGCUAUAUUUUGGUAUGUUUACACUUAACUUAUGUCCUGAAGUUUAACAUGUUUCAAAAAUGGCCUACGAUAGUAAACACAGAGUUAAAAUAUAAGCAGAAACAGGCUCAGGAUCCCACCAACAGCUUGAGUAGGAGAGCUACAAACUCAUUAACAUUACAAACAAUAAAAACAAUAAAC